rnacentral:rRNA from 1 species
CCCUUAGAUGUUCUGGGCCGCACGCGCGCUACACUGACGAUGGCAACGAGUUUUUCCUUCGCCGAAAGGUGUGGGUAAUCUUUUGAAACAUCGUCGUGCUGGGGAUAGAGCAUUGCAAUUUUUGAUCUUGAACGAGGAAUUCCUAGUAAGCGCGAGUCAUCAGCUCGCGUUGAUUACGUCCCUGCCCUUUGUACACACCGCCCGUCGCUACUACCGAUUGAAUGGUUUAGUGAGGACUCCUGAUUGGCGCCGCCGCCCCGGCAACGGAGCAGCGGACUGCCGAAAAGUUGUUCAAACUUGAUCAUUUAGAGGAAGUAAAAGUCGUAACA